rnacentral:rRNA from 1 species
CCUACGGGGGGCAGCAGUGGGGAAUUUUGGACAAUGGGGGCAACCCUGAUCCAGCCAUGCCGCGUGAGUGAAGAAGGCCUUCGGGUUGUAAAGCUCUUUCGGCCGGGAAGAAAUCGCUUCGGCUAAUACCUGGAGUGGAUGACGGUACCGGAAGAAGAAGCACCGGCUAACUACGUGCCAGCAGCCGCGGUAAUACGUAGGGUGCGAACGGGAAUCGAAAUUACUGGGCGUGAAUCGUGAGCAGGCGGGUGAAAUCCCCGGGCUUAACCUGGGAACUGCGUUUGUGACUGCGAGACUUGAGUGCGGCAGAGGGGGGUGGAAUUCCACGUGUAGCAGUGAAAUGCGUAGAGAUGUGGAGGAACACCGAUGGCGAAGGCAGCCCCCUGGGUCGACACUGACGCUCAUGCACGAAAGCGUGGGGAGCAAACAGGAUUAGAUACCCCUGUAGUC